rnacentral:rRNA from 1 species
GAUGAACGCUGGCGGCGUGCCUAAUACAUGCAAGUCGAGCGAACGGACGAGAAGCUUGCUUCUCUGAUGUUAGCGGCGGACGGGUGAGUAACACGUGGAUAACCUACCUAAAAGACUGGGAUAACUUCGGGAAACCGGAGCUAAUACCGGAUAAUAUUUUGAACCGCAUGGUUCAAAAGUGAAAGACGGUCUUGCUGUCACUUAUAGAUGGAUCCGCGCUGCAUUAGCUAGUUGGUAAGGUAACGGCUUACCAAGGCAACGAUGCAUAGCCGACCUGAGAGGGUGAUCGGCCACACUGGAACUGAGACACGGUCCAGACUCCUACGGGAGGCAGCAGUAGGGAAUCUUCCGCAAUGGGCGAAAGCCUGACGGAGCAACGCCGCGUGAGUGAUGAAGGUCUUCGGAUCGUAAAACUCUGUUAUUAGGGAAGAACAUAUGUGUAAGUAACUGUGCACAUCUUGGCGGUACCUAAUCAGAAAGCCACGGCUAACUACGUG